GGCGUGCCUGGCAAACCACUGACUUCCGGCGGCAACCAUUGUGCUUCCACUGAAACAGUCCAGAAUGUUUUCAAUAGCAUCUCUGGCUCUCUGUAUGUACUGAUCUUGCUGGUGAAAGAGUUUCUGCAUUCUGGCGCGAAAACUUGUGUGGCAGUGAUGUUGUUUGCUUGUGGCCUGCUUGUGUAAGAUGCAUCGAAUUCCACAUCUGUUUCAGCAGAGGCUCCAGACAAGCUUUGACUGUGCGCGGCGUGGGCGUAACUUGAAUGGCAGAACUGAGGAAUUAAGUCUUUGACCAGCAGCAUUUAGUACAUCAUCCGCAACUGAUUGCUCAAGACGCACAAAAGAUUCCGGACACUGGUUAAUUGGUAAAUCCACAUUUCUGGAACAAGAUGCUGAAUGAACACUGUUGUUAAUGUCAUAGUUUGGAUAAAAACCUUUCUUAAACAGUGCGCCUUUUGCUCGCCUAGCAACAUUGUGCUUAUAACUUAAAUUUGAAGUUUUUUUAAUUUGUCUCAUUAUUAACUUAAUUGUACAUGCAACCCAAAGUGCUUAUUGAUACUGAAGCUGGGCAAAGAUUUGUUUGGGGACAAUAUUCUUAUGUUUCUUAUUUUUCUGUGUUUAAGAGUCUUAAAUGAAGUAAACAGUGUCAGGUCAUUAAGGAAUAACUACUAUUUGUCUUUCUUUUGACCGUUAUAAGCAGAAAGGUAAACUUUGGAAUUAUAGUACUUAUCUCCCUUUUACUUUGUCAUUGUAAACUCUAAUACAGCCAAGCUGUUUAAUAUAUUUAAAUCUGAAAAUAAUUACCUUUAAAAAUGAACUAAGAGUGCAUUAUUUUAGCAAUAUGACUAUAUAUUUAUAUGAACAUUAUAUAUUUUAAAUUAAUCAGUGCUCAUUCCAGUCAUAGAAGUAUAUCUUCAUAUAAUAUAUAUAUUGAGGUCUAAUUUGCAGUGUACAUCAUUUUGUGCAUGGAAAUAGAGCUGCAUGCUUGAUUUUUUGGUGAAAAUCAUGUAAUAUAAUGCUUGAAAUAACAAAAAAGAUUGCUUUGGGUCUUAAAAUGUGCUGAAA